AGUGAACGCUAGCGGUGCGCCUAACACAUGCAAGUCGAGCGAGGCUUCGAGCCGAGCGGCGAACGGCUGCGUAACACGUUGGUACCUGCCCUAAACUCAGGGGAUAACCCCGCGAAAGCGGGGAUAAUACCGGAUAGUCCUGCAAAGGUAAAGAUUUUUCGGUUUAGGAGGGGCCUGCGGCCUAUCAGCUAGUUGGUAAGGUAAUGGCUUACCAAGGCUAUGACGGGUAGCUGAUCUGAGAGGAUGAUCAGCCAGAAUGGGACUGAGACACGGCCCAUACUCCUACGGGAGGCAGCAGUGAGGAAUAUUCCGCAAUGGGGGGAAACCCUGACGGAGCGACACCGCGUGGAGGAUGACGACUUUUUAGUUGUAAACUCCUGUCCUGAGGGAAGAAAUUUUUGACUGUACCUCAGAAGAAAGCACCGGCUAAUUCUGUG
rnacentral:rRNA from 1 species